AUGGAGUAUCUAAAGAACAAGCAAGCCGAGGACCCUUCGUUUUUCUAUGCCAUGCAGUUAGAUGAUGAUGAUGGUACAAUAAUGAACAUCUUUUGGACUGAUGGACAAGCUAUCAUGGACUAUUCUGUCUUUGGAGAUGCCCUUUCCUUUGACGCCACAUUUUCAACAAAUAAGUUUCAAAUGUCAUUUGCACCGUUUAUUGGUGUUAAUCAUCACAAGCAGACUAUUCUUUUUGGUGCAGCACUACUAUCUAAUGAAUCUGCAGAUACCUUUGAGUGGGUUUUUAGAACCUUUCUACAAGCUAUGUCUGGUAAGCAGCCUGAAACAAUAUUCACCGAUCAAUGUGCCGCCAUUAUAAAUGCUAUUGGAAGGGUUUUCCCAAGAACACGACAUCGUCUUUGUUUAUGGCAUUUGUAUCAAAAUGCUGCAAAACAUCUAAGUCAAGUAAUCAGCGACAAUGAUAAUUUUCUUAAAGAAUUCAAAAGGUGUGUGUAUGAAGAUAGAUCACUAGCACAUUUUGAGAAUAGAUGGCAUGAGCUAUUGCUUAAGUAUCAGAUUGAGGAUAAUUCUUGGAUAAGCAAUCUGUACAAGUUGCGUGAGAAGUGGGCUACUAUCUAUCGUCAGGAUUCUUCUAGUGCAUAUAUGACAUCAACCCAAAGGAGUGAAGGAAUGAACAACGUGUUCAAGAAAACUUUCCGCAAAAGGCUUUGUCUUUCUGAAUUGAUAGAAGCAUAUGAUAAGUGCAUUUCUCGUCUUCGCCGGAAAGAAAAAUACGAAGACUACAAGUCACGGCAUACCAUUCCAGUAUCCUGCCUACCAAACCUACCUUUGUUGAAGACUGCGGCUGAAUCAUAUACUAGGACACUCUAUUCUGAGUUUCAAGAGGAAUUCAAGAAGCAAUUCAGUUUAUCAUGUAUUUUCCUGAGCACGGAUGGCACAAUUAGCACUUACAAGGUGACAUCUUUCGAGUACAAGAAUGAUGAAGCCAUAGUGGCUUUCAACCCAGCUACUUUGGAGAUAUCUUGUUCAUGCAAAUUGUAUGGUUGUGUACGUAUAUUGUGCAAGCACGCUCAUAAGGUUUUCACAUGCUGCAAUAUCAUCAUCCUGCCAAGUCGGUACAUAUCGAACAGAUGGACGAAGUAUGUAAAACAAGAAAUUUUUACAUCAAAACUGAAUUGCAAUGAUAGCUUAGAAUCCAUGUUUGCACAUACUUCUCGAAAGAUGAUUUCACUUACAUUGAAGUGCAAAACAUCAAAGGAGGUUCUUACACAUCUCAACAAUGGUAUUGAUAAGUUGGCUUUGGAAGCACUAGAAUUACUUAGCAAUUUAAACUUGGGUGAAGAUGAGGACUCUGAAAGUUCCUCCGAAAUGACUGGAUAUGUUGCAAAAACAAUGGUGCCAUUUAGAGCUCCUGAACGAAUAAAAGGUUCAAAGCAAAAAAGAUCAAAAGAUGUGCUAGAGGGAGCAAAGAAAGGCAAAAAAAGGAAAAGGUACAAACUAUCCAGCAAAGGAGUCUGUGUUUGUUUCGUCCGCAGCUGGCCCUUCGGAAUAUGA
rnacentral:rRNA from 1 species